rnacentral:rRNA from 1 species
GACGUAGGGGGCGAGCGUUGUCCGGAUUCAUUGGGCGUAAAGCGCGCGUAGGCGGCCCGGUAAGUCGGAUGUGAAAUCUCACGGCUCAACCGUGGAACUGCAUUCGAAACUGUCGGGCUAGAGGCAGGUAGGGGAGAUCGGAAUUCCCGGUGUAGCGGUGAAAUGCGCAGAUAUCAGGAGGAACACCGGUGGCGAAGGCGGGUCUCUGGGCCGAUACUGACGCUGAGGAGCGAAAGCGUGGGGAGCGAACAGG